rnacentral:rRNA from 1 species
CGCAUCUGUGCAUGCAAGCAUAUCAAUAAGCGGAGGAAAAGAAACUAACAAGGAUUCCCCUAGUAACGGCGAGUGAAGCGGGAAGAGCUCAAAUUUGAAAUCUUAAAGGGUUUCCCUUUACGAAUUGUAGUUUAAAGAAGUGUUUUCUGUUGAGGUUUUGGUAAAAGUUCUUUGGAAUAGGACAUCAUAGAGGGUGAGAAUCCCGUAUUUGACCUUUACUUUCAACUUUGUGAUACACUUUCAAAGAGUCGGAUUGUUUGGGAAUGCAGUCCAAAAUGGGUGGUAAAUUUCAUCUAAAGCUAAAUAUUGGCGAGAGACCGAUAGCGAACAAGUACCGUGAGGGAAAGAUGAAAAGAACUUUGAAAAGAGAGUUAAACAGUACGUGAAAUUGUCAAAAGGGAAGCGUUUGACACCAGUGUUGUUUUUCUGAAAAUCAAUUAAAGAACUGUUUAUGCUAAGUUGUUUAGACUUUAUCAGCUAACUGUUUAGUUUUGAGCUUUUCUUUAAUGCACUUUUCAGUUAACAAGUCAACAUCAAUUUCUUUUGCUGUAAAAAAGCUUGAGGAAGGUGGCUUGAGAUUCGUCUUAAGUGUUUAUAGCCUCUUGCCUAUGCAGUCGGAGAGAUUGAGGUCUGCAGCGUAGAUCCUUCGGGGCUAAAUGCAUUUGUGCUAAGUUAUAGCAUUUUAUAGACAACUUGUUGACUAUGAUUUGUCUUGUAGCUUACUCGCUUAUGUUAUUUUACCUACGCUUAGGAUGUUGAACGCGCACAGAGUCUC